rnacentral:rRNA from 1 species
UUCGGCUUACGGGGGGCAGCAGGCGCGAAACCUUUACAAUGCACGAAAGUGUGAUAAGGGAACCCUAAGUGCUUAACUUACGUUAGGCUUUUGCCAAGAGUAAAAAUCUUGGCGAAUAAGUGGUGGGUAAGACUGGUGCCAGCCGCCGCGGUAACACCAGCGCCACGAGUGGGAAUCGUGUUUAUUUGGCCUAAAGCGUCCGUAGCCGGCAAAGUAAAUCUUUUGUGAAAUCAUCGGGCUUAACCUGAUGGCGUGCAGAAGACACUGCUGUGCUAGGAACCGGGAGGAGUCAGAAGUAUGGGGUGGGGAGCGGUAAAAUGCGAUAAUCCAUCUUAGACUACCUGUGGCGAAGGCGUCUGACUAGAACGGAUUCGACGGUGAGGGACGAAAGCCAGGGGAGCGAUCCGGAUUAGAUACCCGAGUAGUCCUGGCCGUAAACGCUGUGAGCUAGGUGUUGCAUAUUCUACGUGAAUAUGCAGUGUCGAAGUGAAGACGAUAAGCUCACCGCCUGGGAAGUACGGUCGCAAGGC